rnacentral:lncRNA from 1 species
AUGGAGUACCAGCUGCUCAAGUUCUUCACUCUGCUCAUCGUCCUCCUCAUCCUGUCGUCGUGCUACUUGGCCUUUCGCGUGUGCAGUCUGGAGCAGCAGCUCUCCUUCCUCAGCAACCCCAACCUGCCCCUGAGAGAGAGGUACCAGCACAGGCCCCACUCUGUCCACCCGUGGCGUGACCCUCCUCCAACCGGCUGCCUUUUGUCCCGUCCAGGUAGCGGCGCCGCCUGCUGCCACGCUGCCGUUACGCCCCGCGCGUGGACAUGACAGGUCCAGGACCAGCCCAGAGCCUGGAGCCCGGACCAGAACCCGGACCAGAACCAACCGCGCACCAGCUGCCACGCGCGAAGGGCAACCAGCCACGCACCCCACGGACCCUCCCUCUGGGGACGGACUUCCGUUUCAGUGAUCACUUCCAAACUAUGCAAAGAGACGAUGAAGUCGUUUCCUACCUCUUUCCGUCCCUCUCACAGAUGACACUGCGGUGCAUAGGGGUCCGGGAGUAGUCAGCAGCUCACGGUUGAACCGGCCGUUUGCGGCACCGGUGAGGUUUAGUAGUGAAGGAAGCUAGAGGUGUAAAGAGAUCAUAAACAGCAAAUGUAACAUAUUCUGCUGAUAAAGCGCAGGUUAAACCACAGGGUCUUUAUUUGUGGUGAGGUUCUGCUGUAGUCGUUAGUAGUGAAGCUAAAACUAGCUGCAACAAUGCACUUUUUAAUAUAGAAAUGUAUCUAUAACACUUUGAAGAGUUUGGGUCUAUUUUGCUUUAUCUAUGAUAAUGAUCAUACUGUAGGUACACAGUUGUCAUUUUUAAGGUAUUUAUGGAAGAGAGUCAUUUUCUGACACUUGACUGAAGUGAAUCCUGUCAUUUAACUGGAGCUGUUUCGCCCGUGGGCGUCGACAAUAAUGUGAAAGGCAGUUAAAUGACGUGAACGUUGUGUUUUACAGGGUAGUUUUUCUUUUCUACAUUUCAAAUCAAGUCACCAUAGGCUUGAAAUGACUCAUGUCACAUCAUUACACGAUUUUCUGAAGAUGUUUCACUUGAAUAGACUUUGUCUUGGAUCUAAUGUUGUCAGAGACUCGUUUGUAAAAUCCCUCUGAAUUAAAUUGGUAACAGAAUCUGGAUGAACACAAAAAGAAGAAACGUGUGGAUUUAAUUUAUUUUGGGUCAUAAACGCUCAGACCACCAUGAACAGCCUGUAGUCUCACCGUACAGUCAGCUUACCCCAAACCUACAAGACUGUAACACAGAGCUGGCAGCAGUGCACAGGUCUCAUUAAAUACUGUAUAAAGUGUGUCUGCAGACUUUUACUGCAGACUUUUACACCAGGCAGUAGCUCUGCGCUGUAGAGGAGGAGGAGACAUAAUAGUGAAUAAAAGAACGUUUAUGGAUGUAGUUUUCUAGAUC